rnacentral:rRNA from 1 species
UCCUACGGGAGGCAGCAGUGGGGAAUAUUGCCCAAUGGGGGGAACCCUGAUGCAGCGACUCCUCUUUAUCUAAGAAGUAUCUCGGUAUGUAAAGCUCUAUCAGCAGGGAAGAAAAUGACGGUACCUGACUAAGAAGCUCCGGCUAAAUACGUGCCAGCAGCCGCGGUAAUACGUAUGGAGCAAGCGUUAUCCGGAUUUACUGGGUGUAAAGGGAGCGCAGGCGGCGCGCCAAGUCUGGUGUGAAACCCCGGGGCUCAACCCCGGGACUGCAUUGGAAACUGUCGUGCUGGAGUGUCGGAGGGGCA